GACGAACGCUGGCGGCGUGCUUAACACAUGCAAGUCGAACGAUGAACUCCAGCUUGCUGGGGGGAUUAGUGGCGAACGGGUGAGUAACACGUGAGUAACCUGCCCUUGACUCUGGGAUAAGCGCUGGAAACGGCGUCUAAUACCGGAUACGAGCUUCAGCCGCAUGGCUAGGAGUUGGAAAGAAUUUUGGUCAAGGAUGGACUCGCGGCCUAUCAGCUAGUUGGUGAGGUAAUGGCUCACCAAGGCGACGACGGGUAGCCGGCCUGAGAGGGUGACCGGCCACACUGGGACUGAGACACGGCCCAGACUCCUACGGGAGGCAGCAGUGGGGAAUAUUGCACAAUGGGCGAAAGCCUGAUGCAGCAACGCCGCGUGAGGGACGACGGCCUUCGGGUUGUAAACCUCUUUUAGUAGGGAAGAAGCGAAAGUGACGGUACCUGCAGAAAAAGCACCGGCUAACUACGUGCCAGCAGCCGCGGUAAUACGUAGGGUGCAAGCGUUGUCCGGAAUUAUUGGGCGUAAAGAGCUCGUAGGCGGUUUGUCGCGUCUGCUGUGAAAUCUGGGGGCUCAACCCCCAGCCUGCAGUGGGUACGGGCAGACUAGAGUGCGGUAGGGGAGAUUGGAAUUCCUGGUGUAGCGGUGGAAUGCGCAGAUAUCAGGAGGAACACCGAUGGCGAAGGCAGAUCUCUGGGCCGUAACUGACGCUGAGGAGCGAAAGCAUGGGGAGCGAACAGGAUUAGAUACCCUGGUAGUCCAUGCCGUAAACGUUGGGAACUAGAUGUGGGGACCAUUCCACGGUCUCCGUGUCGCAGCUAACGCAUUAAGUUCCCCGCCUGGGGAGUACGGCCGCAAGGCUAAAACUCAAAGGAAUUGACGGGGGCCCGCACAAGCGGCGGAGCAUGCGGAUUAAUUCGAUGCAACGCGAAGAACCUUACCAAGGCUUGACAUAUACCGGAAACGGCCAGAGAUGGUCGCCCCGCAAGGUCGGUAUACAGGUGGUGCAUGGUUGUCGUCAGCUCGUGUCGUGAGAUGUUGGGUUAAGUCCCGCAACGAGCGCAACCCUCGUUCUAUGUUGCCAGCACGUUAUGGUGGGAACUCAUAGGAGACUGCCGGGGUCAACUCGGAGGAAGGUGGGGAUGACGUCAAAUCAUCAUGCCCCUUAUGUCUUGGGCUUCACGCAUGCUACAAUGGCCGGUACAAAGGGCUGCGAUACCGUAAGGUGGAGCGAAUCCCAAAAAGCCGGUCUCAGUUCGGAUUGAGGUCUGCAACUCGACCUCAUGAAGUCGGAGUCGCUAGUAAUCGCAGAUCAGCAACGCUGCGGUGAAUACGUUCCCGGGCCU
rnacentral:rRNA from 1 species